UUGCUUCCUGUCCUCUAGGCACGCCCCAAAGGCGAGGGUCUGACCCCGUACCAGGGCAAAAAGCGCUGCUUCGGCGAGUACAAGUGUCCCAAGUGCAAGAGAAAAUGGAUGAGCGGCAACUCCUGGGCCAACAUGGGGCAGGAGUGCAUCAAGUGCCACAUUAACGUGUACCCGCACAAGCAGAGACCCCUGGAGAAACCCGAUGGCCUGGAUGUGUCCGACCAGAGCAAGGAGCACCCCCAGCAUCUGUGCGAGAAGUGCAAAGUGCUGGGCUACUACUGCCGGCGUGUGCAAUGACCUGCCACCGGCCUUGCCCCGCCACCCUCCCGUCCGCCAGAGAAGACGCCACCCACCUAUGUGUCCCCUGUGUGUGCGGGGGUGUCCUCGCAGGCUGACAGGUCUAGGGGGGUGGGCUCUUAGGUUCCUGGCUCAUGUAUGUUGACAGUGUUACUGAUAUCGCUGCGCGCCCCCAGAAAGCUGAGUCUCUGAGACUCCUUACAGUGAGUGUGGGUCUGUGUGAAGGGAUCGGGGCGAGCAGAGGUCAGCACACAGGACCCCACAGAGUCCUUAGUGUCCCCUGCAGGCUCUCCUCUGAGACUCCCUUUGGGGUGAGCAGCCUUGUAUUGGCCACAAGUGCACUAAAUUUACUGUGAAUCCCAGAGCCUGCGGGGGACUGUCUCCCCGAGACCAGCCAGGCCGCCUUCUCCCACCCAGAACCUUCCAGUUUGCCCUAUGUGAAAAGCCACUCUUGCAAAGCCCCAAUUUUCCAAGUCAGCACGCAUAGUGAGCUGACACCGGUUCUAGCAGCUGCUGGGGAGUGGGCACUUCUGCCCCCUGCCACUUUGAGCCCCAAAUCUGACUGCCUCUAAUGUCACUGGCUUGGCACCUGGGUGCUGCACCCCACCCCCCACAAACCCAGGGGUCAGGGACGGGGAGGCACUGAAUGUUGGAGAGUGUUCCAAGAUGUGACCUGGCGCAUGUCAGGUCAUGCCUCCACUCCCCCCCUACCCCCUGCCACAUACUUCCCCUAUUGCUUAGAUUUUGUUGGUCCCAUCCCCUUCUGUCCCUCUUCCCCUCCCACCCUUGCUGGGGGGGCCACCCUUGGAUGGAGGCUGUAGAACCCAGCAGUAUAGCCACUCUGGCAGGAAGUACACAGGCCUGGAAGAUCCAAGUCCCAGGUUCUAAUGCUGGUCCCGCCAGUGAUGCCCUACGGAGUCUUGAGAAGGGUUCUCAUCUCCCCGUUUCCCCACUCAUCCGUGAGAGAAUGACAGCAGAGAGGUGUUCUGAUGUCCCGGGGUUCGUCCUGGCUGCACACCAUCUCCUAGAGUAGAGAGCUUUAUUUGGAGAGGGUUUCCAGGUCCUGUACGCCCACUAUCCUGUACGCCACGGAGUCGUCAGUCACUUAAUAAGUCCUGUGGAAGGACCUCUGUCCUUCCCUGUUUGCCCCUGAAGCCCCAGCUCUGCCUGUUGUCCCCUACCUACAAACAUGAAGAAGUGCCCCCCCUUACAUAGGCAACCCCAGUACAAGCUCCAGAACCUCUCAUUUGCAAAGCCAGGUCGAUGAUUCCUACCUCCCCAGGGGACAGGGAGGCUUCUUGGCACUCACACUGGCCAGGACCACGCUGUCCCAGCUAGCGGGAGGGAUCACCUUCCUCUUGGUUCUCUCCCCAGUGAGAAGCCCUAUUUUUACUGUUAUGUCACCCUUCCUUUCUCCCGGGGGGAGCCAGCUUGUCAGAGCUGAGUCACUUGAUUUUUGCCCAACAUUAUGCCUCUGUGAGGGGGGAAAAAAGUCAGACCAUGAAAUGGGCCUGAAAUUCAGUGUUUACCACGGCUCAAGGACACCCAACCUGUGUCCGGUCGCCUUUUGUUUUCAAAUGAAUAUGCUUUGUGCAACUGAGGAGUUACAGCGAAGUGUUUAUCAGGGGUCCAGGGAGUGAGACGAAGAGAUGGAGUGAGUGUGUUUGCAGCCAGAGGGCUGCAGGGUAGGUUUGUGGGGGAGGCCAUGCCCUCUGAGCACUUAAGAGGAGUGUAUUUGCUCCAGCCUGAGCCCCAUAGCCGCCUCCUUCCGGCCGCAGGGACAGAGUUACAGGUCCCUGGCUGUGAACACGCUCACCGCCCACCACUGAGGAGUCCCUCCCGGCUGCUCCCUGCCUGCUCCAUGGUGUCAAGGUGAGCCAGAGUCAUCCUGGCCCAGGGCUCUCCUUCCCAGAGGGGAAGCUGUUACUGUCAGUCAUACUAGUGCCCUGCUAACGAGAACAUUUGUUGUGGUGGACAUUGCGCUGGUCUCUGCUGUGUGGACCAGGCUCAGCGCCUCCAGGGACCUGGCUCCAUGGGGGGACCUUGGUCUCAGAAUGCCUGGGCUGUAGUUGUGGGGGAAGCUCACACCCUAGAAAGAACCCAGGCUCCAGACCCCUGGAGGCCAGGACCUCCCACAGGUCAAGCGGGGAUGGGCUAUCACCCCAAACUGCCCUUUGCAGCGGGCUUGUCCAGCUGGCAGUCACUGCACCCCACCAUCUGUACAGAGCCGGCCAGCGGGGCUGGGCCUCCCCCCGAGGCUGCCUUUCUGCACCACCCACUCCUGUACUUUUUGGCUGAAUUUGGGAGCUCUCUGGCCUCAGCAAGAACCACUGCUGUCCAGGCUGGUGCUGUGAGAAUUAAGUGCUCAGAGGGCCUGGGUGCCCAGGAGACAAGAAAGUGUGUGGUUGUAGUACAUUCAAAAGGGACAAUCGCUUGCAGUUAGUAGGUCUAGCGAUCCAGUUGGGAGAGAACCGUGUUUACCCCAUAUGAAGUAUUCGAUAGUUCUACUUGUGAAUUUGUAUUUAUUUUGAGUUAUACUUGACACAGAAUUCCUUUUGUUUUUUUUUUUUAAAGAAAAAAAUACUAUGUGUGUAUUUUGAAACGAAAAUUCAUGGAUGUUAAAAUUUCUGCAUGGUUUCCAAUUUUUCUCACAACACUGAAUUUGUUACCUUCUCCCGAAAACUUCACAGUGAUUUUUGUCUGUAUAUAUUUGAGGGCUUUUUUUAAGAAAAAAAAAGAAAAAGAAAAAUAUGAUUGCUUGAUUUUUGAGAUUAAACAAAAAGAGAGGCAUUUUCAAAACUUCAGAACUUUCAGGAGGGCAAUAGAAUAUCAAAGGAAGAUUUCUGGAAGUAUUUUUUGCAAAUCUUCUGGUUGAGCUGCAAGAAAAUAUUUAUGGUGAGAACUUUUCUCUUUUUCCUGUUUUGGUUUUCUUUUCUUUUUUUUUUUUUUUUACUAUGCUUUGGUCUGUAAAAAGUCUGCAACUGAAUUACAUUAAGAAGGAAAUAUUGUCUACAUAGAAUAUUAUAUGAAGUUGGUACAUAAUUCUGAUGAGGAAAAAAAAUCUUUGCAAUUCUUUAAGCCAUAUUAUUGUUAUUCUCUGUUGUUUUCCUUGGAUAAAAAUAUCAGUAUUAGGUAGCCAGCAUAUUAUUCAAGUGCUUAGACUUAUUCAUGUGUUCCUGUCCUGUAUUUAUACAUAUGUGUAUUUGGGAAAGUAUUACCUUUUGUAAGGGAAGCUAUUAUUAGAUACUUAGUGAAAAAGGGAAUGGUGAACCCUUUGAGCCUCUUCAGCUGAGGAUAGCACAGCAUUAGAAUCCAUUCUCUUGCACCUUCUUAUUAUUAUCUUGUUAUUACGGUUAUUAAUCUUGGGGGGGGGCGGAAGUGAGCCAGGUUAGGAGGAGGCGACAUGUGACUAUGUAGCCCCUCCAUAAGUCGGCCAGCUCCAAAGAUGGCCUCCUUGGCCUGGUCCAGGGCUCCCACUCAGCAGGGCCCAGGGAGGGGAGAGGAAGCAGGAGGAGGAUUUCUCCGGCCUCCCUCUUUGGAGUUUUGCCAUCUGAGCCGUGCCUCAGGGCCCUAUGCUCUUUGAACUUGGAUUUGUCACCCAGAGCCUUGACGCCUGCCCUCCAGCAUCUAACGGACUUGAAUCUACUUGGAACAAAUAUUAAAUCCAGCAUCACUACAUUGUAGCCCAGAGUGACAACUAACCCUGACGUCUGGGAGGCGUCCCGUCUUAUGGGAGCUCACCUCUCUCUGUUGUCAACUUCACCGUUCAACCUCCUCCACUCCUGUGUGGUGACCCUGUCGGUGUCUGUAUCUGUUAAUAUGUGUAUGUCCAGCUAAAAAGACAAACAGAACCCGUGGGCCAGCUCGGAGGGUGCGUGGAGAAGCCUCCCAAUCUCUCCUGAGGGCCGCCCUUGGGAUGGCAUUCCGUCGUGUGCCUUAUUCCUGGAGAAUCUGUAUACGGCCUGCCUAUAGAGAUAUAGCCUUUUCAUGCUGUAUUAAAAAGAACUUUUAAAAGCAA